rnacentral:lncRNA from 1 species
UGGGAAGUGCGACCCCCCUUAACUAUAAUUCGAAGUUCGGUUGAGGGGAUACCAAACUUUAAAGUGCGACACUAUAGAACCAGCGUUCGGACACCGAUGCACCUUUAACCGUAGCCCCAAUGUCGGUUAAGGGUGUUUACGUGUACUGCUAAACUAACCUCAAUGUGUUUAGAAGCUCUCUGUCACCACCUUUGUCCUCCACCUUCCUCCUCCAAUAACCAAAGUACUGCCAUCAUGGAUCAC